rnacentral:rRNA from 1 species
UAAUACGGAGGUGGCUAGCGUUGUUCGGAAUUACUGGGCGUAAAGGGCGCGUAGGCGGCUUUGCAAGUCAGAUGUGAAAGCCCCGGGCUUAACUCGGGAACUGCAUCUGAAACUGCUUAGCUUGAGUCCUGGAGGGGGUAGUGGAAUUCCCAGUGUAGCGGUGAAAUGCGUAGAUAUUGGGAGGAACACCUGCGGCGAAGGCGGCUACCUGGACAGUGACUGACGCUGAGGCGCGAAAGCUAGGGGAGCGAACGGGAUUAGAUACCCCGGUAGUCCUAGCCGUAAACGAUGGGCACUUGGUGUUGGGGGUAUUGAGUCCCUCGGUGCCGGAGUUAACACGUUAAGUGCCCCGCCUGGGGAGUACGGUCGCAAGACUG